rnacentral:tRNA from 2 species
GUCCUCAUAGCUCAGCUGGAUAGAGCGUAGAAUUCCUAAUUCUAAGGCCACAGGUUCGAACCCUGUUGGGGACACCA